rnacentral:rRNA from 1 species
GACGAACGCUGGCGGCGUGCCUAAUACAUGCAAGUUGAGCGCUGAAGGUUGGUACUUGUACCAACUGGAUGAGCAGCGAACGGGUGAGUAACGCGUGGGGAAUCUGCCUUUGAGCGGGGGACAACAUUUGGAAACGAAUGCUAAUACCGCAUAAAAACUUUAAACACAAGUUUUAAGUUUGAAAGAUGCAAUUGCAUCACUCAAAGAUGAUCCCGCGUUGUAUUAGCUAGUUGGUGAGGUAAAGGCUCACCAAGGCGAUGAUACAUAGCCGACCUGAGAGGAUGAUCGGCCACAUUGGGACUGAGACACGGCCCAAACGCCUACGGGAGGCAGCAGUAGGGAAUCUUCGGCAAGGGACGAAAGUCUGACCGAGCAACGCCGCGUGAGUGAAGAAGGUUUUCGGAUCGUAAAACUCUGUUGGUAGAGAAGAACGUUGGUGAGAGUGGAAAGAUCAUCAAGUGACGGUAACUACCCAGAAAGGGACGGCUAACUACGUG